GUGCUCUCUUAGAUUGCACAUAUUCUAAAAUUAGAAUAAUACAGAGAAGAUUAGCCUGGCCCUCUGCAAGGCUGACAAGCAAAUCCACGAAGCAUUCCAUAUUUAA
rnacentral:snRNA from 1 species